GAGUUUGAUCAUGGCUCAGGACGAACGCUGGCGGCGUGCUUAACACAUGCAAGUCGAGCGGAAAGGCCCUUCGGGGUACUCGAGCGGCGAACGGGUGAGUAACACGUGAGUAACCUGCCCUAGGCUUUGGGAUAACCCUCGGAAACGGGGGCUAAUACCGGAUAUGACUGCUGGUCGCAUGACUGGUGGUGGAAAGUUUUUCGGCCUGGGAUGGACUCGCGGCCUAUCAGCUUGUUGGUGGGGUAAUGGCCUACCAAGGCGACGACGGGUAGCCGGCCUGAGAGGGCGACCGGCCACACUGGGACUGAGACACGGCCCAGACUCCUACGGGAGGCAGCAGUGGGGAAUAUUGCACAAUGGGCGGAAGCCUGAUGCAGCGACGCCGCGUGAGGGAUGACGGCCUCGGUUGUAACCGUACUUUCUAGCAGGACGAAGCGAGAGUGACGGUACCGU
rnacentral:rRNA from 1 species